ACUUUUAGUUCGAGCGAUCCUUCGAACCACUUUCAAGGAGAAACUAUUUUUAUCAUGAUGUAAUGUUAAGGUUUGCGUGUGAGUCCAUUAUCUGUAAUUGUACGAAUAAAACAUUUAUGCGCGAGAGCGUAGCACCACAGUCAAGGCAAACGCAUUUAUAUAGAAGCAAUGAAACAUUUAUGAAACUCAACGUACCGUGUGACGUAUUUAUUGCAUUUCAAGGUAUAUAGAAGGCGUAAUAUUAUACGCGACUUAGACCGGACAAUAAUGCGUUAACGGUAUUUCAAACGUUCCUAUCCAAAUCGAGACAUUUAUACGAAGUGUACGAAACUUUCCGAAAGUCUGUGAAACUCCUUUUGGAAUGAUGAUCGAUCGUAAUUAAAUGAAUAUCUCAUUGAGUAAUCACGAAGAAUAGAUAAAUUUUUCUAUAAAAUAAUAACAAAUGAAAAACAAUUUUGUAAUGAUAUGGUCAUUGAAAAAUUCUUGUAUAUUUUCACGUAAGUUCAUCGUUGUUGGUUUAACUUCUCUUUUCCGGAUAUUUUAUUGGGGUUAAUAUUCAUGAUAAAAUUUGAAUCACAGAGGUACGUUCUUUUAUCCAUUGCGCGAAAAUCCGUCCGAUUUUCGACGCGCUCUUUGAACGAGCACGCGCGCGCGCGCGGACGCACGCACGCGUUACGUAGAAUCCAUUCAUCAACCCUAGCAGCAUCGCAUGUUGCUGUGCGCCCAGCGGGGGUGAGUUAACGCGCAGCAAGGGCGCUGCCCUCUGAACUCCAGGAGAUUCCUCACCGUGCGAGUAAAUCACCCGAUUUCGUCUUCCUCCGUCGAAUUAUCAUUAUUACCUCCGAUUGUAUGUCGGAUUCGUAACCAAAGAACUAUUUGGUGGGAAAGAAGGGAGAAAGAUAGAUAGAGUAAGAAAAUAGAAGAAGACAGUGAGAGGACAGUAACUUGGUAAAUCCAGACCACGGUAGAGAUAUACUGUCUUUCACGACUUUUCGUCUGACGGCUCUUCUUUUAUAUCGCCGGCUGGAUCUUCGAACACCCAAAGGGAUUUUUGGCUUUUCUUCUGAUUCACAAGGAUUCUUCUUCUUGCUUUUUUAUGUCGUAUUAUCCCUCCGUAUGAUCGUCAAGAUCCUUUACUGGAUAAGUAUCCCAGAAGGGAAUGCUUAUCGAUGUCCAGUAUCAAAGCUUCGAUUCGUAAGUAGUUCUUGAUAAUGUCGAACGAUGUGAUAAGAGAAGAAAGGUAAAGAUGAAUAACGAUUUGUCUUCUUCCUUCCUCCUUAUUUUUCCUUAUUUAUACGACACUUUGCUAUUUGCGAUAAAUAUGAACGAUAAUCUAUUUAAUAACGAUAUUAUUUUUUUAUUGCAAAUUACUGAAUAUCAUUGGAAACAUUUUUAUAUCGUUGUAUAAUUAUCCUAAGGAAAUCUAUAAAAUGAAAAUUGAGAAAAAAGGAACUGUAAUAAUUUUUUGCGUAUUUUUUUUUUUUUUUGUUUUUGUUUAUCAUUGAUUAAAAAGACAAAAGAAGAAAGUAAAGAAAGAGAAGAGAGUUAAAGAAGUUGACUCGGGAGGUAACCUUGGAUAACCACGAACACUAAGCGUACGUAGGACAGACAGAUGUAUGGACUAAGAAGAAGAAGAGAGAAUAAGAAAGAGAGGGAAAGAGAGAAAGAGAGAGAGAGAGAGAGAGAGAGAGAGAGAGAGACUGGACCGCUAACAGAGAGGCUGUAUGGCGUCUCUGAUUGCCCAUUGUCCGACUAAUAAGAUAUUCUAUCAUCUCUCGUCGUGCCGUCGGCGCCUGACCGUUUCAAAGGAAAGGAAUCCUACCACAGUCACGUGUUGACCAAUCGAGACGUAGAUUUACCGUAGAUCGACCAAUCCCGUUUGCCGACGUUACUGGUAAUCACCAGCGCCAUCUUCUGUCCCUUCUCUUACUCCUGACCUUCUUUUUAUCCUGUAAAUGAGCUCGGCGUAAGUCAACCGAUAAAUAAUACCCGACUUCGCGACCAGCUGCGAGCUUUAAAAUUGCCUGUGUAAAAGUGUAAUGGGGCCUUAAUUGAACCCACCCAGGACAUCCACUAACGUUCUUCGCAUUCAUUGUCUAUUUAUAUACGUGCCCGACGUUUUACACUCUUCCAUCUCUCUGGAGAUCAUACGGACGACAGACGCGCAUGGUCGACAUUAUAAUAGGAUAGACCAUACGGAACGAGAGACCAGGGACUGUGGAACAACUUCUGGGAGCCCCGGAAGGAACGCGAUUUCGUAAAAGGAAGAAUUUCAUUCCUACGAAUGUGAGGAAAAAAAAAAAAGAAAGGAAGGAAGAAAGGAAAGAAAGAAAGGGAAGAAAGGGAGAAAAAGCAUGCUGGUGUCCGUAAAAUUUAUUAAAACCACAAACAGCGAAAACGCAGCCUGAUUUCUAAAGCGUUCUGUAUUUUUCCAAUUCUGGCUGGUGCAUGCGGUUAAUUACCUACAUCUACCGGACGGAACGAGAUGGCAGUGUAGUGGAUGAUGUUGGAGUGGGGGAAGGAGAUGGAAGAAGAGAGAAAAGCGUUACACUAGGAAAUAUUUCGAAACGUCGGCUGAUCACGUCCGUAGUCGCGGACGCGCGCACGCUACCUCGCGUUUGCACGAGAAAACUUCGAAAUUAUUCUCGAUUAUUCAAAUUCGCAACCCUUGCCGCGAGCUGUAUGAGGGCCGAUUCAAAUUUAUGCAAAAGUCCGGCAACGCGAAUCUCCGUUCUUAUUAAUAUGGAUCAAUUUGACGUUCCUCCUCUUGCCUUUUUCCCCUCUUACCGUUGGCCCUCACGUACGGCACUUCUCUUACUCUUUCUGCUUCCUUUUUUUCUCAUGGUAUAGCACCUUCUCAAAUUGGACCACCUAACAGUCGAAGAAAUGCUUGUACAAACGAUUCUCUUUCUUUCUCUCUUUUUCUCUAUCUCUCCUUAUUAUCCUGAUUUCUAUGAUUUCUUCAAAUUCCUUUGGAUAAAACAUGAUGUAGAUAUUACUAAAUUGUUGAUUUACCAAAUCAUUCAUAUAAUUUGUAAAAGUAUGAAUAGUACGAUAAUGCCCUUUUUGCCCUAUUCAAAUUUAUUAAAAAUAAUCAUUUUGAUAAUGUAGAUGCAUACAUUGUACAAUGCGAUACGAAAUGCCCAUUUGACCUUAUCCCAGCGAUGUCUUCGACAAGUUCAAUUGCCAUCUUGUUCAAACCAUCAAAAAGAUUGUAAGGAAAGAAAUAGAAAGAAUAGUGCUCGAGAAAGAAUAGUGCUUAGUCUAUCCACAUCUCGUACUAGGUAACUGUUUGGUCUAACAAGGAAACUUCUCGUAGCUUGAAAUGAUGAUCAUUCGACAGAUCAAGUUUGAUCAUUUGCGUAAUGUUGACAUACAAAUCUAUGGUUUCAAUUAAAUUAAAAAUUGUUAAAUAAAUAUUGACUAUUUGUCAUUAUAAAUUAUCGAAACGAGAUUCAUAACGUAAUCAGACUUAACAGAUUAAAUUGUCAAGAAUAGUUAAGAAAAGUAAAUAAAUAAUCAUCUUCGAAGUUUAAACCAAGAACAAAGGUUACUUUCACGAUUAUGAGGAAUAAAGGUAAAAUCACGUGAUAGAGACGGAUCAGUAGCCUCUUUCGAACGUGAACCAACCAGCGGUUUAAACCUUUCGCUACGGUCGUGGCACACACAGUAGAGAGUUUGCUGCACGCAAAUGAAGAAUUGUCAGCCAAAUACGGUUCGAGGGUGGUAAGGGGUGUCAGUAGGGGAUGAAUGGAGCGUAAUACCGGGUCUACCCUGAUUGUUGCCCUCCCUUUACCUUUCUCCCACAACCUCUCGAACCCAUCGGAAUUUCCAGUACGAAUUUCCGCCGGUGACUGCGACGUCACUUCCGUCCCAGAGACAAGCAGAAUCGUAUCCUUUCUCUAACUCGUUCCCGUUUAACCUUCCCACACUCUCUUGCCUUUUCCCACACACCAAAAUGAUCGUGUGCGAUUCUACAAAGUUCUACUUGAUCAUCAUGUUCAAGUGGAUCUUCAAAUUUUAUCUUGCGUAAUAUGAAUCUUUUCUUUCCUUCUACGAAAAAUUUAUUACUAUAACUACAAUUUUCUAUGUCAUUCAAAUGACCAGAUAUGUUCUUUCUCUUUUUUCCUCUUCCAAAGUUAACGCAUACUUAUCUACCCUUUUUCAAUGUUUCCUUAUUAAUCAACAAUGUGCUUUUGUCAUCAUUAUAAUUCCAACUUCAUGGUGUAAUUUGUCCUCAUAUAUUUAAAAAAAAAAAAAAAAAGCAAAAAAAAAAGAGUUUACGCAUCGAUAUUGCUAAAACUUUUUAUUGCAAUUUUUUAAACAAGGUUUUUGCAGUCAUAAAACUCAUUUGAAUGCAUAUUAAAAUGUGCAGUUGUUCACUCGGUAUUGGUUACAUACAAAUUUUUCGAGAUACUGAAUUUUCAAAAAUGGAUCUGUAAAGUAAAAUUAUUUUAUAAAUAGUUGAGAAAUUACCCAAGUCGCUUACUUUUUCUAUAGAAAAUUAUAUAGGCUUUCUAGUUUUUAAAGAAAAAAAUUUGAUUUUUCAUUCUUAGGUGGAACACAGAAAAGAAGUAGAGAGAGAGAGAAUGAGAGAAUGAGAGGAACCAUAAGGAUCUACCCCUUUAUAGCAGACGUAAAUAAUAUAGUUGAAAAGGUAAAUAUAAUUACCUAACCGUGUAUGUAACGUGCUUGUAAGCGACGCUUUUGAAAGGCGCUACCCCCGUCAACGUAUUCAAUGGCACAGCGCGCCUGCUUGAAUUAAGAUUUCAGUAGCUCCAUUGCAUAAGAUUGCUCCGUAGGUUCAUAUAAUCUAACUUAGACUAUGCCACAAUGUCCUUCGUUUUUUAAAUCUACCAAAGCACAGUAAGGAUACGCGUAUACGGAUAUUUUCCAUUAAUCGUCGAUUUGAUAUCAACGUUGUAAAAUUGUAUUCCUAAUGAAAAAUAAAUAAUCAAAAAAUAGAAAAUAUUUGAUUUGUUCAUCAAUGAAUAAAAAAUAUUUUCUAAUUGAACAAGUAAAUACGUUUGAAGUGCAAAAAG